CCUACGGGAGCUGCAGUGGGGAAUAUUGGACAAUGGGCGAAAGCCUGAUCCAGCCAUGCCGCGUGUGUGAAGAAGGCCUUCGGGUUGUAAAGCACUUUCAGUGGGGAAGAAAGCCUUGGGGCUAAUACCCUCGAGGAAGGACAUCACCCACAGAAGAAGCACCGGCUAACUCCGUGCCAGCAGCCGCGGUAAUACGGAGGGUGCGAGCGUUAAUCGGAAUUACUGGGCGUAAAGCGCGCGUAGGCGGUCUGAUAAGCCGGUUGUGAAAGCCCCGGGCUCAACCUGGGAACGGCAUCCGGAACUGUCAGGCUAGAGUGCAGGAGAGGAAGGUAGAAUUCCCGGUGUAGCGGUGAAAUGCGUAGAGAUCGGGAGGAAUACCAGUGGCGAAGGCGGCCUUCUGGACUGACACUGACGCUGAGGUGCGAAAGCGUGGGUAGCAAACAGGAUUAGAUACCCCAGUAGUC
rnacentral:rRNA from 1 species